rnacentral:rRNA from 1 species
AUUGAACGCUGGCGGCAUGCCUUACACAUGCAAGUCGAACGGCAGCGCGGACUUCGGUCUGGCGGCGAGUGGCGAACGGGUGAGUAAUACAUCGGAACGUACCCUGUUGUGGGGGAUAACUAGUCGAAAGAUUAGCUAAUACCGCAUACGACCUGAGGGUGAAAGUGGGGGACCGCAAGGCCUCCCGCAGCAGGAGCGGCCGAUGUCUGAUUAGCUAGUGGGUGGGGUAAAGGCCCACCAAGGCGACGAUCAGUAGCUGGUCUGAGAGGACGAUCAGCCACACUGGGACUGAGACACGGCCCAGACUCCUACGGGAGGCAGCAGUGGGGAAUUUUGGACAAUGGGGGCAACCCUGAUCCAGCAAUGCCGCGUGUGUGAAGAAGGCCUUCGGGUUGUAAAGCACUUUUGUCCGGAAAGAAAUCGCGCUGGUUAAUACCUGGCGUGGAUGACGGUACCGGAAGAAUAAGCACCGGCUAACUACGUGCCAGCCGCCGCCGUAA